rnacentral:rRNA from 1 species
UACGUACUGUGCGAACGUUAUUCGGAAUCACUGGGCUUAAAGGGUGCGUAGGCGGCCAAUUAAGUAGGGUGUGAAAUACCUCGGCUCAACCGGGGCAUUGCGCUCUAAACUGCUUGGCUUGAGUGAGAUAGGGGUGUGCGGAACUUCCAGUGGAGCGGUGAAAUGUGUUGAUAUUGGAAGGAACGCCGGUGGCGAAAGCGGCACACUGGGUCUUAACUGACGCUGAGGCACGAAAGCCAGGGGAGCGAACGGG